UCAUUAAUGUUGGUGUGUUUUUAUGAACAAAGCAUCUUUGAAGGAUUGAUGAUGAUGAUGAUGCAGAGCCAGAAUGAAAGAAGUCUAUGUUUCCUACAGCCCCUGAACGCAUCACAUCCAUCACAUUUUGACAACUUCCUGAAGUCCGAGACGAGYUCGUGUGAAGUUUACYGUCACGCCUUAAGGUCCGGUUCGAUACGUGGCUCCCGCUUCAUCCYGGGUGCUGUGGUCACGUGUUUAACCCGAGAUAAAGACACGACCCGUGGGUUGAAACAGUAAAAACAGACGGUGCAGGAAUGUGGCCACGGAUCCGUUCAGGGAAAACGGGUUUCUUCUCGUGCUGCGUUCAAGUGCCACCACAAAACUAAACAUUCAGCUCCGUCACGAACCAGCACACCGGCCGCUCACAGCCGAGCCGCGCUGCCUCUUACCUGGACCCGCACGACACCGCCCGGACCGUCCGCCGCGUCGGGCGAGUUGUCGAAGACCCGGUCCCGGUACAGGGACCACAGGCCCACGUUGGGCAGGAACAGGAAAGCCGCCACGAGCAGCCCGGCGACCUGCAGCAGCCUCUUCUGCCUCCGUCUCAUGGCGCUCCGCGGGUCCCGACAGCUCGCUUCUCCGAGCGGAGACAACUUUGGGACGGACAGCGGCGCUGUGACCCUGUCAGAGUGGACUGAUGUUCAUCAGAGGAUGGAUGCUCCUAACAGCUUUGAUAAUCAUCAGUUUGCUGCAGAGGGAGCAGCAGCAUGCUAACAUGAAGCUCUGCAAACCAGACCCCCCUUUUUUCUGUGCAUCCUCCUUCAAAUCCACACUAAGCCCGUGAUACAAACAGGAGAAGUUUUAAAGUGAAGCGCUAUUCAAUCAACAUAAAUCCCCUCCACGCUCACAGGUUGCUUCACAGUUCAUCUAUAAUUCAUGCU